rnacentral:misc_RNA from 1 species
GACGAACCGACCGAACGUUAUUCGGAAUUACUGGGCUUAAAGGGUGCGUAGGCGGCCGUGUAAGUCAGAUGAGAAAUCCCACGGCUCAACCGUGGAACUGCGUUUGAAACUACAAGGCUUGAGGGAGAUAGGGGUGAGCGGAACUGAUGGUGGAGCGGUGAAAUGCGUUGAUAUCAUCAGGAACACCGGUGGCGAAGGCGGCUCACUGGGUCUCUUCUGACGCUGAGGCACGAAAGCGUGGGUAGCGAACAGG